GACGAACCGUCCAAACGUUAUUCGGAAUUACUGGGCUUAAAGGGUGCGUAGGCGGCGCGGAAAGUUGGGUGUGAAAUCCCUCGGCUCCAACCGGAGGAACUGCGCCCAAUACUACCGUGCUUGAGGGAGAUAGAGGUGAGCGGAACUUAGGGUGGAGCGGUGAAAUGCGUUGAUAUCCUAAGGAACACCGGUGGCGAAAGCGGCUCACUGGAUCUCUUCGUGACGCUGAGGCACGAAAGCUAAGGGUAGCGAACGGG
rnacentral:rRNA from 1 species